rnacentral:snRNA from 1 species
AUGCUGGUUUCAGUGGUACAUAAACUAAAAUUAAAAUGAUACCGAUAAAAAAUAGCUCUUGCACAAGUAUGACACGCAAAUUUGUGAAGCAUUUCAUAUUAAA